rnacentral:tRNA from 1 species
GGCCCCAUCGUCUAGCCCGGUUAAGGACGCAUGGUUCUCAUCCAUGAAACACCGGUUCAAAUCCGGUUGGGGCCA